UACGUAGGGGGCAAGCGUUGUCCGGAUUUAUUGGGCGUAAAGAGCGUGUAGGCGGCCAUGCAGGUCCGUUGUGAAACUAGGAGGCUUAACCUCCCGAGACGUCGAUGGAAACCGUAUGGCUAGAGUCCGGAAGAGGGAGAGUGGAAUUCCUGGUGUAGCGGUGAAGUGCGCAGAUAUCAGGAAGAACACCCGUGGCGAAGGCGGCUCACUGGUCCGGUACUGACGCUGAGGUGCGAAAGCGUGGGGAGCAAACAGG
rnacentral:rRNA from 1 species